rnacentral:rRNA from 1 species
AUUGAACGCUGGCGGCAUGCUUUACACAUGCAAGUCGAACGGUAACAGGCCUUCGGGUGCUGACGAGUGGCGAACGGGUGAGUAAUACAUCGGAACGUACCCAGAGGUGGGGGAUAACGCAGCGAAAGCUGUGCUAAUACCGCAUGUGAUCUGAGGAUGAAGGCGGGGGACCGAGCAGCAAUGUUUGGCCUCGCGCCUUUGGAGCGGCCGAUGUCGGAUUAGCUAGUUGGUGGGGUAAAGGCCUACCAAGGCGACGAUCCGUAGCUGGUCUGAGAGGACGACCAGCCACACUGGGACUGAGACACGGCCCAGACUCCUACGGGAGGCAGCAGUGGGGAAUUUUGGACAAUGGGCGCAAACCUGAUCCAGCAAUGCCGCGUGCGGGAAGAAGGCCUUCGGGUUGUAAACCGCUUUUGGCAGGAACGAAACGGUGUCCGCUAAUACCGGGCGCUAAUGACGGUACCUGCAGAAUAAGCACCGGCUAACUACGUG